AGUUCGUUUCAGGGCGGGGUGCAAUUCCCCACCGGCGGUAUAGCCCGCGACCACCCCUAUGGGGUGCUGACUCGGUGAGACUCCGAGGCCGACGGUAUAGUCCGGAUGCAAGAAACGGCAG
rfam:Faecalibacterium sp. CAG:82 genomic scaffold, scf30